rnacentral:rRNA from 1 species
AACGAACGCUGGCGGCAUGCCUAACACAUGCAAGUCGAACGAGACCUUCGGGUCUAGUGGCGCACGGGUGCGUAACGCGUGGGAACCUGCCCUUAGGUUCGGAAUAACUCCCCGAAAGGGGUGCUAAUACCGGAUAAUGUCUUCGGACCAAAGAUUUAUCGCCUUUGGAUGGGCCCGCGUUGGAUUAGCUAGUUGGUAGGGUAAAAGCCUACCAAGGCGACGAUCCAUAGCUGGUCUGAGAGGAUGAUCAGCCACACUGGGACUGGGACACGGCCCAGACUCCGGCGGGAGGCAGCAGUGGGGAAUAUGGGACACUGGGCGAAAGCAUGAGCCAGCAAGGCCGCGUGAGUGAUGAAGGCCUUAGGGUUGUAAAGCGCUUUUACCCGGGAUGAUAAUGACGGAACCGGGAGAAUAAGACCCGCCUAACUCCGU